rnacentral:lncRNA from 1 species
UCAUUUUUUGUGUGGAAUCUGUGUUGCGGAAUCUCUUUUCCGGACACACUAGCUUUUCCCUUUUUUUGCUAGUAGUAUCUAAACAUGUUUUUUUUUCUUUUGUUGCCGUGUAUGAUCAGGACACAACCUCGUUGCUCAACUUCCGCAAGUACAUCGCAGCAAAGCUUUUCAAACAUCCGCAAAACACCCUCAGCUCGGAGGAGGAGCUCGAAAAGUUGCUGAAGAAGUCAUAGUUUCAAGUGAAAAGACGACCGCAACAAGACCUAGCUAGUAGUUUUAGUCUUCUUUUUUUUCAGUGCAUGUGUGCACGACAUGUGUUUUUGCAACUGAGUUCUCUAGUUACCUCAUCCUGAUCCUGAUGUGUUACAGAGACAUUACGUGAUCUUUUUUG